CGAGCACGCGCGUGUGGCAUAUCAAUAAGCGGAGGAAAAGAAACUAACUAGGAUUCCCUCAGUAACGGCGAGUGAAGCGGGAAGAGCUCAAAUUUGAAAUCUUCAAGGUUCUACCUUGACGAAUUGUAGUUUAAAGAAGUGUUUUCUGUUAGAGAGGUGGUAAAAGUUCUUUGGAAUAGGACAUCAUAGAGGGUGAGAAUCCCGUAUUUGAUCACUUUCUACUAACGUUGUGAUACACUUUCAAAGAGUCGGAUUGUUUGGGAAUGCAGUCCAAAAUGGGUGGUAAAUUUCAUCUAAAGCUAAAUAUUGGCGAGAGACCGAUAGCGAACAAGUACCGUGAGGGAAAGAUGAAAAGAACUUUGAAAAGAGAGUUAAACAGUACGUGAAGUUGUCAAAAGGGAAGCGUUUGACACCAGUGUUGUUUUUCUGAAAAUCAAUUAAAGAACUGUUUAUGCUAAGUUGUUUAGACUUUAUCAGCUAACUGUUUAGUUUUGAGCUUUUCUUUAAUGCACUUUUCAGUUAACAAGUCAACAUCAAUUUCUUUUGCUGUAAAAGGGUAUGAGGAAGGUGGCUUUCUUUUCGGAGAAAGUGUUUAUAGCCUUGUGCCUCUGCAAUCGGAGAGAUUGAGGUCUGCAGCGUAGAUCCUUCGGGGUUAGAUACACUUGUGCUAAGCUAUAGCCUUGUAUAGACAACUUGUUGACUAUGCUCAGUCAUGUAGCUUACUCGCUUAUGCUAUUUUACCUACGCUUAGGAUGUUGAGCGCAUGUCUCUCUCU
rnacentral:rRNA from 1 species